rnacentral:tmRNA from 1 species
GUACUUGCCGACAGCGCCCAGAAACACUACUUACGACAUGUUCCUUUGGGGACUAUGGCGAUAAACGCGCAUGUAAUAAGCGGCUCGGACCCGGGGGCGGUACCCGGCGGCUCCACCAAUCACGGCUAUGCUGUGAUCACCCCGGUCAUUUGGCGGGCGGAUGGGGCCGAAACAGGAUCGACGGACGUCUAAAGAUGUUGCUUUCGCUCGGUGAGAUACCACCGUUAUCGGUUCAAACAGUAUAGUUGCAAAUGACAACCAUGCUCCGGUCGCAGUCGCCGCGUAAGCGGUGCCUAAGAUCGAAACUUAAGUCUUAGCGCCUAGCAGCGUUAAGCGGGGUUCGCAGGCACCUGGCAACAGAAGCCUGCACU